rnacentral:misc_RNA from 1 species
AACAUAUGUUUUUCAAUAUUUGUUCUAAUGUAGAUGUAGUAGUGUUAUGACUUAUAGUGGUCAUUGUAUAUAUGUAGUAGUGUAGUUCCGUUUUAAAAACGGCAUUCAAAAUUCAAACCAAACAAGAAUUAAAAAUUGUCAAAUUCAGCUUUAAAGAAUGAGGAGAAUAUUUUCAAGAAGUAUAUCAAGUGCUGCCUCUUGGGGUAGGAAAAAGAAGAAAAACAUCAUCAGACGAAGAUGCCCUCUCAACAGGUUUAGAGCCAUCGUUCGCAAAAUCAUGUGCGACAUUUUCUGGAUAUCCGACACAACCGACUGGGAAUUAGGUACGAACGCCGAACUCAAUGUAUACAUAUUGACGCAUAGGAAGAAACGCCUGUUGAGUCUAGAGGAUAAAAUCUGUCUCCGAAAGCCGACACCGGAAAGAACGGCGAAUGAGAUCAACACUAUAAUGAAGAAACUAAGAUUAUUCAAAGCGUUCAAAAUUUACCCAGAGGAUGUUAGGCGGGAAAUUUUGUUCCAUGCCGGUUUUGAAUGUUGGAAUAAAGACAGGGUCCUCGUACGGCAGGGGCAUACCCCUGGCUAUGCUUAUUUCAUAGUAUCGGGCACGGCCCUCUUCGAAUACACGCACCCCGACCCGAUUUUUGCCAACGAAACGAAACACCAUAUCGACAAACUCGGGGAGGGCGACGGCUUCGGAGAGAUGGCGAUUCUUUACAACGAACCCCACUCGGGCACUGUCACAGUGAGCUCGGACUGGAUCGAAGUGAUUCUGCUGCAGAAAGACCGUUUUAUCUCUCUUUUGCAGGAAACGGUCAAGAAGCACUGGGAUGCAAUCAGGUGGGCUUUCAUGAAGUUCCCAUAUUUUGAAAACUUUCCAGAACCGGCUUUAAGACACCUCUGCUCUCAUGCGUCACUCGUUACCUAUCCACCAGGAGAAAUAAUACCAGUGAAAGAUGAGUUCGGGUCGAAUAUGGUGACUAUGGUGGUCGAUGGGAUGUGCAACGUUCUCCAGACUAUUUUCAUCGCCGAAGAUAAGUCAAAACCUAUGUACAAGAGAUUCAGCUUAUACAAGGAAAGAAUUCCAGAGAACUGGGGCCAACUGCCGGACAACGUUAGACCGAUCAUAAUGCAGAUAUGUACCCUGAGAAGGAAGUGCAUUUUCGGCUUGGGAGAGCAAAUGUCAAAGAACAUGAUUCUGUCGGAAAGUGAAGUCCUAGCGCUUAUCAUACCGCGGAACCUCCUCUUAAGAGAACAGGCGCUGGAGCAUUUAUAAGACGAAACUGAGAAAAGACAUUAAUAAAUGCACUAAAACGAUGAGCAUGUGCAUUCACGAUGCUCCUUUGUCGACGAGGGCGAGAAUGCUCCGUCUGCGAGGACAACUGUACGACAAAGUUGUCAGCAUGCCUUAUUAUAAGUUUGGAGAAAUCGAUAUCGACAAUACCAUGGAAAUUAUUACAUUGAAGAAGAAAUCGACCGAUAGAGCUCCGCUCUCUGGGCACGAGACUGACAAACAACGGUUCGAAGAGGAAUAUCUGCGGUUGAAGCAUUUGUACCGAGAAACCCAGCACAAACUAAAAGUCUUCAAAGGCGUUCGAGAAGUAGGCUGAAACGUCUAAAAUCAAGAAAUUGGCUGAAUUUAAAAAACAGGAAAGCGGGAAUUAUUUUCUCCGAUAUCGCUGUUCAUCAUUCCGCGUUAAUGUUGUCAAAUGAAUUCGGACUUUUUUAUUUUGUAAAUUAUUGCACAUAGACGAAUUGAAAUUACAUUAGCAAAAAUA